CAGUGGCGUGCUAGGUACUAUUUUUCUGGGGGGGCCAGUGGGCUGUCAACCAAUAUGCGCCCCUAUAAUGUUACGCUUGAUACACGAGGGCAGACGGCACGAGCCGAGCGCCGCAAGUGCGAGGUUUGUCCAGGGGGGUUCGGGGUCAUGCCCCCCAGGAAAAUUUUUGAAUUUAGAGUCUCUGAAAUGCCAUUUCCUUGACUUUGGGGGAAGAUUUGACAGAAAUCUGAUGGUCAGGAAACGACAUUAUAACGUGUCGAAAUUUGAAAUUUGGUUAGAAUUUAGUAGUAGUACUUCAAGCGAUUAAUCUAAUCCCAAUUCUAUUCUCUACUGAUCUAGUGAUCUGAAUACAUUUACAACUUACAGCUCUUUUAUACAAUAACAC